ensembl:lncRNA
UGAAUGUUAAGGUUUCCAGACAGCCAUUGAUGUGCAAAAUGUGGGGAUGUGCAGUGAAGCCCUCAGCUCCGUAUCCCCCCUUGGGCAAUUAAACGUGUCUAGUCCCAGUCAAGUCCCUAGAUGGUUUGUAGGAGAGGGCCGGGUAUAUUGUACAUCAUCUCUCCUCUCAAGUCUCCCGAGAGGUUAAAGCCUGCAUCUCAUUGUCUGCAUUGAUCUACGGACUGCACAAGGAUGAUGAUCAAUAUCUGGAUUAGUGGAGGCAGGUGUAUCUUUGUCUGUCUCUUCUUGGCUUGAGCUUUAUCGCCAAAAUGCCAAUCCAGUCACAAGCUGCAGAGGAGAGGACUGAACGCAUACUGAUGUCUCGCUGGGAAACAAGGUUCUGGAGCUCCUACCUGCCGUUGCCAUGGCAGCAGUCGCAGGGCCUCAGCUGGCGAGUUAGUGCUGCCCCAUAGGCUGUCUGUCUCAGCGCACGUUUCUCCAAACCUGACAGCCGCCUCAGCAGGCCUUUUAAGAGCUAUUUAAUAAACCAAAUAGUUAUCCCACUUGUAUUACAGAAACAUUCUUAAUUCUUAAACAUUAAUAAACAUAAAAAAUGACUAAUCAU